ensembl:lncRNA JAKMIP2-AS1 JAKMIP2 antisense RNA 1
GUAUUCCUACUGUGCUCUCUGAGGAUGUGGAUGCUGUUGAUCUGCGGACCACACUUUGAGAAAUACACAGGUGACAGCUGUGGUGGAAAGAACUCCCAUCCAGGAAUCAAAACAUGUCUUCACAUUUUGGCCAUGGAACUUGGGGGUCUUGCUUUGUUGCUCAGGAUGGAGUACAGUGGUGCAAUCUUGUCUCACUGCAGCAUCGACCUCUGGGGCUUAAGCCAUCCUUGCACUUCAGCCUCCCAAGUAGCUGGUACUACAGCUUUGCCCCCUCCAGGGGAUGCAACAACAAGGCGCCAUCUUGGAAGUAGACACCAGGCCCUCACCAGACACCAAACCUGCUGGUGCCUCGAUCUUCAAUUUCCAGCCUCCAGAGUGUGUGAAUCCUGUUUGACAAAGAAUAUCGCGCAGUCAGCAUUUCAGAGUGGCACGAAAGAGCCUGUGUUGUCAAACCACUUUGCCAGAGCUGCCUUCUCCCCACCCUGUUUGUUUGCCUGCCAAAGACUGUCAUGGUUUCUGGAAGAAAAGACUCAAGAUGUUCUCAGUAGCUGCUGUUUUCAGACAUCAUGAAAGUCUUCUCCUACCCUCUAUAAAAACAAACAAUAAAACUCUACAAAGGAAAAGCCCACAAAAACAUGCUGACUUUAGAAGAAUCCAUGAUUUAGAAUAUUUUUAUAAAUAUCUAAGAAAACAGGAGUCCUUUCCAUAUAUAUGGUCCUUGGAGAUACUUUCCAUAUAUAUGGUCCUUGGAGAAUCCAGUUUUUAUGAGAAAGGUGAUUUCCAAAAUCUCUUACACUUUACAAUUUCAAUUUUGGCCUGAGCAUAUCUCUCGAUUGAUCUACCUACCUACAUACUGAUCUAUCUUGGAUAGAGCACUGGACAAAAGGUAGGCACUGUUUACAAUCCACUGACAAGAAAACACAUGAAGAAGCAAACCCCACAGCGCUCUGAAACCUGGAAGAGAUGGGUUCUACAUGGGUCUGAUGGGAUUACUGUACUAACCAGCCUCCGAAUAUCCCGCUCCGACUCCCACUUGAUCUUCGAGAUGGCUUCUUGGUGGGACUGAUGCUCACUCCGAAGGUCCCCAGCCUUGAUUUUAUCUGCUUGGAUCAUAUUGCUCAGAGCCUCGUCCACCUGCUUCUUGGCCGUUUUCAGGUCCGCAAUUUCCUGUAAGAGCUUAAGGCGCUCUGUGUCAAACAGUUUCCGGGCCUCCUCCCGGGCCUCAAUGGUGAGCGCUGUCCUUACUUUGUCACUGCUGCCGUCGCGGAGAGCACAGAGAGCAGACUUGAGCCUCUGGAUCUCUCCAUCACGUACCUUCACCGUCCUUGACAUUUCCUGCUCGUGCUGCUUGAUAAGGUUCUCCCUCACAGCCUGCAGCUCCUUCAUCUUCUCCUCAUGGAGCUUGGCUUUGAGUUCUGUCACCAGCACCGUGUGCUUGCGCUGCUCCAGCUCACGAAUCCUCUUCGCUUCUUGAGUCUUCUCUCUUUCAAGCUUUGAUACCUAAAAACAGAGAGGCGAAAUGAUGAAGAGAAAUGAGCCUCAAAGGACGGGUGUGCUCCUAGGCAGGAUUUGCAGCUCAGGCCGCUGUGAUCUCUUAAUUCCUCAUCUCUUUUCCAAUUCCAGGCCCUCUGAGAAAAAAGAACUACAGGCCUUGAAGCUGGGAAUACAGUGUGUAAGAGGAGGAAAUACCUGAGGAUAUUUAUAUUACUUUGUUCAGAUGAAUAUUUGAUGUUCUGGGGCCUUACUAUGCAAUGUGUGGUCUGCAGACAAGCAGCCUCGGUAUCACCCAGGAAGCAUGUUAGAAGCACAGAAUCCCUGGCUUAGCCCCAGAUCUAUGACUCAGAAUUUGCAUCUUAACAAAUCCCCAUGUGAUUGGUAUACGCCUUAAAAUUAGAAAGUAUCGCUAUCAUGGUUUUUCCCUUUACGGGGAGGACUGCAAAACAGAUCGCCUGGAGAGCUUUUUAGACUACACAACCCUAGCUAGAUCCAAACUGAUAAAUGUGUGUCUUAGAAUAGCUCACAGUUUGAUAUUGUGAUAAGGCUAAUAAAUUAGUGCCUCAAGUGAUAUUAUUGA